CUUGGAAGUAAAAGAGGUUGACAAAGUACAUGGCUUGAAAACCGAAAUACAGGUUUAUAGGAUACAAAGUGUAAAAAAUUAAUGAAUGUUUUAACAGCAAGAUGGAAUUCAAAGUCAGGAUAUAAAAAAAGGAACAUUUUUAACUUAAGAAGGCAGAAAUGCAUGAACUAGUACCCACUGGCAGAACGUGGUUUAAAUAUUUAUUUUCCUUUAGAGAGAAAACAUGAAAUAAACAGCAAACCAUCACAGGGUAGAGAUCUGAUGUUGAAUGCAAAACAACAUUCGUAAUAGCAAAAUUGAACUGCUUAAUUAACCAUGAAAAUGAGAAUUAGUGUGCCAUUUUAUUAAGUAAAUAUGCAGCAUUUUUAAAUGUACCAGGAAAAUACUUGUGUGUUAUGUCUGCUGUGCAUUUUUAUAAAGGUAAAAAUAGCAAAGUUUCUUAAUUACAAUGUGAAAUGUAAAAUCGUUAAAUUUUAAAGAGGCUGCACGGGAUAAACUUUACUAUUUCUAGGAUUUUGUAAAAUUAAAAAAUAUGCUCAUAUCUCUUGAUCAAGGUAUUUGUAGAGUUAUAAAUGAGAGCAGCAGUCAUUAGUAAAAUAUAAACAAAAAAUAAAAACGAAAACGGUGCCUUUUCACCAAGCACAAAGUUUUAGUUACCAAGUACCUAAAACUGAGGCCACUUGAUUACAACUCAGUAAACCUGGGCAAAAGACUCAAGAUGUUAAUGAGCCCAGCUAGAUGAAGAAAUUCUGUAAAAUUUUUAGUGAUGAUAUCCUACAGUGUUUAACGUAAAACAUCAUAACAGGCAGAGUAAAUGAGCCGACUGUUUUAUUUGCAGUCACAAUCUACUUUUCAAAGAUACUAACUUCAAGAUGGUUCAGGCUGUUGAAGGCUACUUCAAAGUUGUUUCGUUCAUGAAAAUUCAAUUGAGUCAAUGACAGAAUGUACAGUUACUUUUGUGUGUCUAGA